UUGAAGUGUUCUCCCCACCCCUUUGAGACGCUCUCUGUAACAGGGAUCCUAACAGCAAUAAAAAGGGAGAACGGACACAUAUGUUUUCAGAACGGAAGAGAUGUGUGACUGAAAACAUCUCUGGCUGUUCUCCUCGCGAGUACAAAAGAAUCUAACUCUCUUGUCUUUCUUGUGUUUGUUAAAUCUGUCUCAAUAGGUGUUUAAACCUGACAAUAAAGCAUGAGGCU